AGAGUUUGAUCCUGGCUCAGAAUGAACGUUGGCGGCGUGGAUUAGGCAUGCAAGUCGCGCGAGAAGUUUCCUUCGGGAGACGGACAGCGGCGGAAGGGAGAGGAAUAAGUAGAAAUCUGCCCUCGGGACGGGGAUAGCGGCGGGAAACUGCCGGUAAUACCCGAUAACAUCUUUGGAUCAAAUGGUGUGAUUCCGCCUGAGGAUGAGUCUACUUCCUAUUAGCUAGUUGGUGUGGUAAUGGCUCACCAAGGCAACGAUGGGUAGCGGGUGUGAGAGCACGAUCCGCCUCACUGGGACUGAGACACUGCCCAGACACCUACGGGUGGCUGCAGUCGAGAAUCUUCGGCAAUGGGGGAAACCCUGACCGAGCGACGCCGCGUGCGGGAUGAAGGCCCUCGGGUUGUAAACCGCUGUCGUAAGGGAACAAAUCUAAGAGGGUACUCCCUUUUAGUUGAGUGACCUUAGGAGGAAGGACGGGC
rnacentral:rRNA from 1 species